UUCACUUAUAUUGAUACAUAUGUAGGCUAAAAUAGUUAAAAAAAAAUAUUAUUUGUAUCACUAGCCGUAAUUUCGCAUAGAAGUCAGCUCGGAUUUCAACAUUUAUUCAAUAUACAGAUCUGUAAAGUGGAUUCAGUGCCUUAUUUGCUAUGGCUCGCUCAUUCUGGAAUGAGUGAUAGAAUGCUUAACGGCGAUACCGGAUGUAAGCUCGAAACAUGGACAAACCCCUGAAGACGACAGUGGGGCAAAGCAGUUUACCAUACCUCACUUAAUCCUACGUCGUAAACUCAUUUCCACCGGUUCAGCUGCAACGACAUCUGCUACAUUGUGCUUAUCGUAGCUGGCGAUCGCUACAAGCUUCAUCCCUGCAUUAAGCCUCGUGCGCAUUCCAAACUACUCAUUAUAUGGUCUUGCUACGUGUAGAAAUUGGUUCCAACACACGUAGCAUACAACAAUGGAUUCAGUUCUUUAGCUGUCCAGUGGGGCAGAGCUAAACUUGAACUUGGAAAUUAGCAAAAGGCAGGCCCACGUAUAGAACAAAAACGGCAGCCAGUGCCAAUGCAAUUCUGGUAGAAGAAAUACCCCCAAGGAUGGAAGGGGUGUUCGUCAAGGGAUUCUAAGUGUGUCGCACCUGGAUUAGGCCUUUCGACGAUGCAGCUUUGUAAACUUCUGUUAAUCUCCUAAUAUACACAAAUUGCGCCAUUUGCCUUAUAGUAACUCUCGGCGGCAAUACUGUUUAAACCUGGCUGUCUAAUUACACAGGUUAAGAUACGGUUGCGAAUGCCUCUGUCUGUAUGCAUGCACAGUAUAGGUUUUUGAAAGAAGUACCUGAAGAUUGGCGGAAAAGGGUAUUUGUCUUUAUAACAUGUGGGAUUAAUAUACCCUUCGAAUACCGUAUCUAGUUGUGUAGGCACUGCAGAUAUUUAGGGCAAGCAUCAAAUCUUUUUUUCUCUUUCCCUUCUUAAAGGAAGCCUUUGAUUAACUCAAAUAUCAGGAAGCUCGUGGCCUUCGUUCGCUCGACUCAAAGAAGCAUGUUAGUUUAAGGGCUUUGAUCGAUACGGGUCGACCUGCGCCUUCUGCCAGCCUUCCGGUUAGUUGCGCUAAGAAUGUUCAUAGCCCUUAUGCUUCCAAACUUCCCUCUUUUUCUGAUACUUCUUCUUCCAUAUUUCCAACAAAGGCAGUGAAGCUGUCAAUAAAAAUUCCCAAGUAUUGGCUUUUGAAAUCGGGGUAUUAAAUCUCGACUCAGCCAGCGACUCCUCUCUUAUGCGUACGCAGCUAGCGUUAGGUUCUCCUUCGACCGUCGGUUAGCUUUUAGUAAUGUGACUUCGAAACAACACAACGUAGGGGAAAGCUGCUCGAUCUCGCUAUUUUCAGCAACGUUCCUUUUCGGCGGCACUUCGGCCAUCGUCAUGGCGCACUAGGCACAGACUGACGCGAGGGCGACGAACGUGCUGGGCUUUACAGUUCGGUGGUAAAUUCAAAUUAAUAUUCUCGUGGGCGCGGGGAUGGACCCCGUCGUGGCGAUAAGUUAUCCGGUUUUCCGUUGCGGCUGUAGCGGCGUCGGUCGGACGUCCCCAAUCCAGUCGCCGUAGCAAUGGACGAUUUCAUUCGCGAUGUAGUUGAAAGACGUGCAAUUUGGACGGGCACAAUUGUGGGCUCCGUGAGUUGGUUAGAUGGACUUUGUGGGUGCUUUUAAAAGCUAGAUGUCUUCACUUAGUCGAGAAGCAGCACCAGCAGUAAUACGGCAAAGUCUGUUAUGCUAUCCUGGUUAUGCGCGGUCGUAUCUAUCUGUGUGUAUGUGACUAGCAGAGAAUUCGUUGUGGGCCAAAGUUAUACACGGGUGGCUGUCGAUGUCUCAAUCGAAUUGGACCUCUUGAGGCAUUCACUGAAUUGGAAGGAGCCUACUGCUUCUCCACCUAAGGUUGGAUUUAGAUUGCUAACUUUUACAGUGCACGCACACCUCAAAAUUCUGAUCCGUAUAGAGUGUUUUCGUUAACGCUGGCGUCGGCAUGGGACAAUAAAGCUUGAAAGAGCAAACUGGCGAGAACAAGGAAAGGGAGCAAGAUCGGUGACAAGGUCUCAGUGGCCCUUCUCCUCCGCACCCCAUUCUUGACCCGCCUGAUUCCUGCCGAAAUAAUGGACUUGUUGCCGACGGCAACCAAGGUUUAGUGUGGAAUUUCUGGGUAAUAGUGGACUAGUGCUGCUGUCGUAUAGGACCACAGCGGGCAUGCAGGAAAAAUAGUGCCUAUGAUAGCGGUCGCAAUGGCAGUGGACUUGGCCUGAGCUGGCGGCCUUCGCUAUAUUGUAAUGGAUCGUUUGCUUUCAGCUGUUGCUGCCACUAUAAACAACCAAACAACAAUAUUUAGCACUGCGCUCCAGUUCUGCUUGAGAUGGUCAGUGUAAGUCUUCAGCUGGAUACUGCACUACCGUUCAACCCGCAGUUAAGCACGAUCUGCAAUGUGUCCUCGAUUCAUCUACGAAUGAACGUCGAGUUAGACAGGUUGAAGCAACCCCUCGGUUAUUAGCUAUGAUUGCGACAGCUUUGACUCCCGUCAAGCUGCCCCCGACGAACACCACCCCUCGUGGUCCAUCGCUGCCUUCCAGUUGCGUAUUAGGUAGAGAACUCAUCAGUGAUUUCAACGCUUCGUCAUGUAAUCAGAUCAGCCAGGCCAAAUCGGGCUGAAAAGCAAUACCAACAAUGACCAAAAUAAGGACAGCAGCAAGGUCCGAGACAGUCGCAGAAACACCGGCACCGUCAGCAGAGGCGGUCGCAUUAACGAAACUAAUAACGAUGCCCCAGCCGGACGUAAUCCUGGAGUAGUGUCCUUUCUCACUGGAAUGCCUGCCGUCGGCAUUUGGUGCCAUGAAUUAUAACUUAAAUGCUGAGAGUGCGGAAACUGAAUCGCCCGUAACUUAACUCCAGACCAGUAUUCUACGUGCACUUUACGAGACCUUCAUCUACAAAAACCCCGAUGUGCACAUACAAUUGCCAUAGACGAGUGUGGUCAAUCCUUACCACCAGCCGAAGAAAGAAACAAUGGCGUCAUACUAGAGGUGAAACAAUCAAUGCACCCUACUAUUUCGGGUUCCUCAGCAAACUCAUGACACAGCAACCGGAAGCAUACAGUGUCCUUACUUGAGGACAACGCUAGACCUCAUUGCCAUUCCUCUAUUACUUCAUGGAUUGGAGAAAGGAACAUGCAACGUGGUCUUGCAGCGGCUUAUUCUACCCUCCUAAUUCAAUGUGAUUGCGGGCCCUUCCCAAGGCAACUGGUGGGAAAACGUAUUUCACUAUUGACUUACAUGGAGAAACCUAGCGAAACGACAUAUGAGAACGCAAAUCUUCCGAAACUGCGAGGACACUGGGAAAAGAGGUGUAAACAAAACAGCUUUUUCGGAUCACUAAUGAGGAGCUGUGUAGAUCUCGGCGGAGUGCUGUUAUAACUAUGGAAGCGCGCUUACGGAAGAACCAGUUUGUAUCUGCUUUUAUACGCUUUUCAAGUCAGGGAUACCUUUGUUCGAUGGGAUGAAUCACACUGGUGGGUUCGUAUCAGCAACCUGUGGCUCAAAAACUUACGGAAGAUUCAGUCGACAGUAAUUGCAA